rnacentral:rRNA from 1 species
CGACUCUCGACAACGGAUAUCUAGGCUCUCGCAUCGAUGAAGAACGUAGCAAAAUGCGAUACUUGGUGUGAAUUGCAGAAUCCCGUGAAUCAUCGAGUUUUUGAACGCAAGUUGCGCCCGAAGUCAUUAGGCCGAGGGCAUGUCUGCCUGGGUGUCAC